rnacentral:rRNA from 1 species
GACAGCAGUCGCCACGGUAAUACGGAGGGGGCUAGCGUUGUUCAGAAUUACUGGGCGUAAAGCGCACGUAGGCGGCUUGGUAAGUUAGAGGUGAAAGCCCGGAGCUCAACUCCGGAAUUGCCUUUAAGACUGCCGAGCUAGUAGGUGAGAGAGGUGAGUGGAAUUCAGAGUGUAGAGGUGAAAUUCGUAGAUAUUCGGAAGAACACCAGUGGCGAAGGCGACACACUGGCUCAUUACUGACGCUGAGGCUCGAAAGCGUGGGGAGCAAACAGGAUUAGAUACCCCCGUAGUCCCUGUCUCUUAUAC